rnacentral:rRNA from 1 species
AUGCGUGUUCCUAAAAACAGAGGCGGAAUGGGCAUUCGGGAUAUCCAGAGUUUUAAUUUGGCCAUUCUUGCUAAACAGUGUUGGCGAGUAAUUGAUAACUAUGAUUCCUUAUGUGCUAGAGUUCUUCGAUCCAAGUAUUAUCCAAGUGUGGAUUUGCUUAAUUAUCCUCUCAAGAAAGGACCAUCAUACAUAUGGCAGAGCAUAUUGGCGGGCAUCCAAACAUUCAAAGAGGGUUGUAUCUGGAGGGUAGGCAAUAGAGUAAAAAUAAGUGUACAAGAUAGUUGUUGGAUCCCUAACAGCUCUUUGAGGAAAAUUAUUACACCCGGAGGGAAUAGAAUGCUAUCCAUGGUGCAUGAGUUAAUAGAUCCUAUUACGGAAUUUUGGGAUGAGAACCUGAUUAGGGAGAAUUUUUGGAGCACUGAUGCUGAGCGAAUUCUGCAGAUCCCUAUAUUCCAACAAGAAACAAAAGAUUUUGUGGUGUCACACCUAACAAAAUCGGGCAUUUUUGCGGUACGAUCUGCAUAUUAUAAACAGUGGGAGACGAGCUAUUUGCAACACAAAAUGGAAGGAUUGAUUUCUGGUGGAUCGGUGCCUCACCCUGUAUGGGAAAAGAUUUGGAGCCUAAAAGCACCAGGGAAGGUGAAGAUUUUUAUAUGGAGAUGCCUCCACAAUGCUAUCCCGCGCAUGUGUGUGUUGGCUAACCGACAUAUAUUAAAGUCAGGGUAGUGUCCUUUAUGCAAAAGGCAUGCGGAGGACGCAUAUGUUAUUCAGGUGUGA